rnacentral:rRNA from 1 species
GUCGAGGGGCAUCGGGAGGAAAGCUUGCUUUCCUUGCCGGCGACCGGCGCACGGGUGAGUAACACGUAUGCAACCUGCCCUCUUCAGGGGGACAACCUUCCGAAAGGGAGGCUAAUCCCGCGUAUAUCGGUUUCGGGCAUCCGAGAUCGAGGAAAGAUUCAUCGGAAGGGGAUGGGCAUGCGGCGCAUUAGCUUGACGGCGGGGUAACGGCCCACCGUGGCGACGAUGCGUAGGGGUUCUGAGAGGAAGGUCCCCCACACUGGUACUGAGACACGGACCAGACUCCUACGGGAGGCAGCAGUGAGGAAUAUUGGUCAAUGGGAGAGAUCCUGAACCAGCCAAGCCGCGUGAGGGAAGACGGCCCUAUGGGUUGUAAACCUCUUUUGUCGGAGAACAAAACCCGGGACGUGUCCCGGACUGCGUGUAUCCGAAGAAAAAGCAUCGGCUAACUCCGUGCCAGCAGCCGCGGUAAUACGGAGGAUGCGAGCGUUAUCCGGAUUUAUUGGGUUUAAAGGGUGCGUAGGCGGUCCGUUAAGUCAGCGGUAAAAUUGCGGGGCUCAACCCCGUCGAGCCGUUGAAACUGGCAGACUUGAGUUGGCGAGAAGUACGCGGAAUGCGCGGUGUAGCGGUGAAAUGCAUAGAUAUCGCGCAGAACUCCGAUUGCGAAGGCAGCGUACCGGCGCCAGACUGACGCUGAGGCACGAAAGCGUGGGGAUCGAACAGGAUUAGAUACCCUGGUAGUCCACGCAGUAAACGAUGAAUGCUGGUUGUCCGGGUCGAAUGAGAUCUGGGCGACGAAGCGAAAGCGAUAAGCAUUCCACCUGGGGAGUACGCCGGCAACGGUGAAACUCAAAGGAAUUGACGGGGGCCCGCACAAGCGGAGGAACAUGUGGUUUAAUUCGAUGAUACGCGAGGAACCUUACCCGGGCUCAAAC